rnacentral:lncRNA from 1 species
AUUUCCACUGCAGCCGCUGUUAACUCAUGUCUUCCUCGCUUCUACCCAAGCAGCAGAUUUUCUGGACCCUUUUGAUCUUGCUCUCUCGGAAAAUGGAACAUGAAAACCUGCAGAGAAAGAUCGCGUGCCAAAUUCAUGAUAGCUGUUUCCCCCAGGGAAAGAGAGAAGAAGGGAGGGGAAAUUUUCAUGUUUUUUAAAUAUAAAAACAUCUGAAGAAAAAAAAAAUAAAAUCUUCGGGAACACGAUUUUCCAUGGUUGCAUAAUAGUUUAUCAUAUGACCAUACCAAUUAUUUUUAAACCAAUCUUCUUUUGUACAUUUUUUUGUGCCUUUUUCAACUUGUUCUCCUAUGCAGCUUCCGGAUGAAUAACCUUGUUUUAUGCAUACUCUGAUUGUUUCCUGAGACUUAGAUUCCUAGAGUGGAAUUAUAGGGUGUGAUGUGUGUUUUGACAUCUAUUUGUAGAUUCGUUUUUCAAUAAGGUCCAAACCAAUUCAGCGGGUAGGGUUUUAAAGCCACAAUAACAAGUUACAAAAAAGGAAUGGCCGCUG